GUAGCGGUGAAAUGCGUAGAGAUUGCCUAGAACACCGAUUGCGAAGGCAGGUCACUAAGUCUAAAUUGACGCUGAUGGAUGAAAGCGUGGGGAGCGAACAGGAUUAGAUACCCUGGUAGUCCACGCCGUAAACGAUGGAUACUCGCUGCUCGAACACUUGAGUUCGAGUGGCUGCGAGAAAUCAUUAAGUAUCCCACCUGGGGAGUACGCCCGCAAGGGUGAAACUCAAAGGAAUUGACGGGGGCCCGCACAAGUGGUGGAGCAUGUGGUUUAAUUCGAUGAUACGCGAGGAACCUUACCUGGGCUCGAAUGGUACCGGAAGGUCCCCGAAAAGGGACUGUUUCUUCGGAACCGGUAUCAAGGUGCUGCAUGGUUGUCGUCAGCUCGUGCCGUGAGGUGUUGGGUUAAGUCCCGCAACGAGCGCAACCCCUAUGGUUAGUUGCCAGCAGGUUAAGCUGGGGACUCUAGCCAGACUGCCCGUGCAAGCGGAGAGGAAGGCGGGGACGACGUCAAAUCAUCAUGGCCCUUACGCCCAGGGCGACACACGUGCUACAAUGGACGGUACAGCAGGCAGCGACCCCGCGAGGGCAAGCAAAUCCGCAAAAGCCGUUCUCAGUUCGGAUCGUAGUCUGCAACUCGACUGCGUGAAGCCGGAAUCACUAGUAAUCGCGCAUCAGCCAUGGCGCGGUGAAUACGUUCCCGGGCCUUGCACACACCGCCCGUC
rnacentral:rRNA from 1 species